rnacentral:rRNA from 1 species
GGAUAACUGGCGGCGUGCCUAUCAUGCAAGUCGAUCGGACGGACGAGAAGCUUGCUUCUCUGAUGUUAGCGGCGGACGGGUGAGUAACACGUGGAUAACCUACCCAUAAGACUGGGAUAACUUCGGGAAACCGGAGCUAAUACCGGAUAAUAUUUUGAACCUCAUGGUUCAAAAGUGAAAGACGGUCUUGCUGUCACUUAUAGAUGGAUCCGCGCUGCAUUAGCUAGUUGGUAAGGUAACGGCUUACCAAGGCAACGAUGCAUAGCCGACCUGAGAGGGUGAUCGGCCACACUGGAACUGAGACACGGUCCAGACUCCUACGGGAGGCAGCAGUAGGGGAUCUUCCGCAAUGGGCGAAAGCCUGACGGAGCAACGCCGCGUGAGUGAUGAAGGUCUUCGGAUCGUAAAACUCUGUUAUUAGGGAAGAACAUAUGUGUAAGUAACUGUGCACAUCUUGACGGUACCUAAUCAGAAAGCCACGGCUAACUACGUGCCAGCAGCCGCGGUAAU